CAACCCUCAGGCCCCCGGGCCUGGCGUUGGGGAUCGGCGGAGCCCUCUGUGGCACACGCCGUCCCCCAAAUACAGUGGCGGUCCCGCCGCAGCUUCCAAUGCGUAGUACCUAACGACGCAACUGGAGAGCGGCGCGGCCACGCCGUAAAACACCCAACUUUUAAA
rnacentral:misc_RNA from 1 species